rnacentral:rRNA from 1 species
AGGUUGGCUUAGAAGCAGCCACCCUUUAAAGAAAGCGUAAUAGCUCACUAGUCGAGUCGGCCUGCGCGGAAGAUGUAACGGGGCUAAGCAAUAUACCGAAGCUGCGGCAGCAUGUUUACAUGCUGGGUAGGGGAGCGUUGUGUAAGUGGAUGAAGGUGAGUUGUAAAGCUUGCUGGACAUAUCACAAGUGCGAAUGCUGACAUGAGUAACGAUAAUGGGAGUGAAAAACUCCCACGCCGGAAGACCAAGGUUUCCUGUCCCAUGCUAAUCAGGGCAGGGUAAGUCGGCCCCUAAGGCGAGGCAGAAAUGCGUAGUCGAUGGGAAACGGGUUAAUAUUCCCGUACUUAUAUAAUCAGUGAUGGAGGGACGGAGAAGGCUAGGCAAGCUUGGCGUUGGUUGUCCAAGUGAAAGUGAGUAGGCUGAAGACUUAGGUAAAUCCGGGUUUUCAAGGCCGAGACACGAGACGAGCUCCCAAGGGAGUGAAGUUGUUGAUGCCCUGCUUCCAGGAAAAGCUUCUAAACUUAUGAUUAUAUGAACCGUACCCCAAACCGACACAGGUGGUCAGGUAGAGAAUACCAAGGCGCUUGAGAGAACUCGGGUGAAGGAACUAGGCAAAAUGGUACCGUAACUUCGGGAGAAGGUACGCCGGCUUUGGUGAUGGGACUUGCUCCCUGAGCUGAGGCUGGUCGAAGUGACCAGGUGGCUGCGACUGUUUAUUAAAAACAUAGCACUCUGCAAACACGAAAGUGGACGUAUAGGGUGUGACGCCUGCCCGGUGCCGGAAGGUUAAUUGAUGGG